UACGUAGGGUGCGAGCGUUGUCCGGAAUUAUUGGGCGUAAAGAGCUCGUAGGCGGUUUGUCGCGUCUGUCGUGAAAGCCCACGGCUUAACCGUGGGUCUGCGGUGGAUACGGGCAGACUAGAGGCAGGUAGGGGAGAUCGGAAUUCCUGGUGUAGCGGUGAAAUGCGCAGAUAUCAGGAGGAACACCGGUGGCGAAGGCGGAUCUCUGGGCCGAUACUGACGCUGAGGAGCGAAAGCGUGGGGAGCGAACAGG
rnacentral:rRNA from 1 species